UAAAAGCUGAUGGCUCUGUACUUUUAUUAGAAAGUGUCCCCAGUCUUAGAAGGUCUCAGUAAUAAAGAAAACAAAGAACAUGUCUCCUGAAAUGAUGUAUGACAUGAUGGGACAGCUGGUAGGGUAGUUAUUAGAGCUGCUGCCUUUAGACCCAAAGGUUGCAGGUUUGAGUCUCACCUCCAGCUGUAGUACCCUUGAGCAAGGUAUUUACUCUAAAUUGCUCCAGUAAAAUUACCCAGCUCUAUAAACGGAUAAAUAAUUGUAAAGUUGCUCAACGCUAUAAGUCGAUUUGGAGAAAAGUGUCAGCUAAAUGUACAAAUGUAAAUGUAUGUGUGCUCUGCCACAUGGCGAGAGAUCGGACGGUCCACCGUGUGGUGUGUCUCAGGAGAGUGUUCUGGCUUCACAGGAGCUGACCAGUCCUCUGAGGAAGCAGCCCAGCAGCAGCAGGAGGAACAGGAGAGGAGAUGGGAGCUGGAGAGGAAGGCCAGGGAAGAGAGGAGGCGACAGGAGAGAGAGGAGGCACUGGAGAGGGAGCAGAGAGAGCUGGAGCAGUUGGAACAGGAGAGGGUGGGUGACAGGAAGGCAACUCUUCCUCCUGUCGGCCUGUGUCCCACCACAAUCAGCGUUGGCCCAUCUUAAUAGUUUGGCCUGUUUGUCAGUCCUUUUCGAAUCCUUGCAGCUUCUCAAGGAGAUGCAGCAGCCUCAGUGUGAAGAGCAGGACAGGGGAGGGCUUGAGGAAAGAAGCACGACCCAAGAGAUGAGGUCAGACCGGCGAGAGGCAAACGAGCUGCACAGGGACACGGAACAGCCCCCCAGCGCGGCAGCCCCCCACGGCAACAUGGACCCCCUGCAGCAGUACAUGAGGAUGGUAAUGCAAGGAGGUGGGGCGUCACCCCAACAGGGUUCAAAGAAGGAGGAGGCAGAAGAAAGGAGCCUGGAGGCAGAGGUCUUGUCAAAUGACAAAGAUGACAGCAUCAUUGCCUUUUCACAUGAGGAUGCUGAAGACGACUUCUGGUAA
rnacentral:lncRNA from 1 species